rnacentral:rRNA from 1 species
GAUGAACGCUGGCGGCGUGCCUAAUACAUGCAAGUCGAGCGAACGGACGAGAAGCUUGCUUCUCUGAUGUUAGCGGCGGACGGGUGAGUAACACGUGGAUAACCUACCUAUAAGACUGGGAUAACUUCGGGAAACCGGAGCUAAUACCGGGUAAUAUUUUGAACCGCAUGGUUCAAAAGUGAAAGACGGUCUUGCUGUCACUUAUAGAUGGAUCCGCGCUGCAUUAGCUAGUUGGUAAGGUAACGGCUUACCAAGGCAACGAUGCAUAGCCGACCUGAGAGGGUGAUCGGCCACACUGGAACUGAGCCACGGUCCAGACUCCUACGGGAGGCAGCAGUAGGGAAUCUUCCGCAAUGGGCGAAAGCCUGACGGAGCAACGCCGCGUGAGUGAUGAAGGUCUUCGGAUCGUAAAACUCUGUUAUUAGGGAAGAACAUAUGUGUAAGUAACUGUGCACAUCUUGACGGUACCUAAUCAGAAAGCCACGGCUAACUACGUG